rnacentral:lncRNA from 1 species
CAGCAAGCUACUGGAACAUUUGUCUCUCAGAAAGUUUAAAACAAAUGAUCUGAGUGUUAUUAACGUAUGAAGACAUAUGGCUUAUGGGAAGGAAAUUAUCCUGGGGUAUAAAUCCUGUACCUCUCUGCAACGUUUGGAAUACUUUAUCUGGCACAGCUUCUUAUGACCAACCUCCACCUUCAUAUAUACAAGCACAGGUCCCAGUGAAGUCAAUGGAGUUGCACUUGCUUAUUUGAGAAGAGGUUUGAGGCCUUUCACCUUAAUACAACCAAGAAAUGCUUACAAGUGAAGUCACAUCUCAUAUCUGAUUAGCUGAAUUGUAAAUAUGAAAGAUAACUGGCUUGGAAUUAGGUAUCAGGAACUAAGAGUGCCC